ensembl:lncRNA
CUGGUGCAUCUUCCUAAUUUCUGUGUUUCUGCUGCAUUUCGCAGAGUCUUUCUCUGUUCCUGCAUCCUCCGUUGAGGGUUUUGUUGGAGGCUCAGUACUCUUGCCAUGUUUUAUCCAUCACAGCGAGCUUCAGGACAGAAUUAAAGAUGUUAAUGUACACUGGCGGUACAAUAACAGCAAAAUUGUGAUUGAUAUAAUUGGAGGCAACAGAACAGCUGAAGACCAAGCUCCAGAAUACAAUAACAGAGUUGAAAUGUUCCCUGAUGAGUAUAAGAAAGGCAACUUCUGCCUCAAAAUCAACAACAUUAAAAAAACUCAUGCGGGGAAGUACACCUGUAUCAUCACAGGACCAUUUCAAAAUGAGAAGCACACUGGACUUUUUGUCAAAGAUAUACCGGAGGAAAAAGGAAACAUCAGGAAGUCAGUUUAUGUAUUAUUGAUUGUUUUUGUGUUCGUCAUUCUGAUUUUUGUCAUCAUAAUUUAUGCAUCAAGGCAAUGCUUGUUACUGACAAUCAUCCAAAUUUGGACGCAUUUUUCUUUUCUCAGUUACAGUACUUAA